rnacentral:lncRNA from 1 species
CAGGCGGAGCAGCCGCGUCGCCAUCUUACGGGACAGGGCAGGGCGGCAGCGCCGCUGGAGCCCCGCGAGUUAUCCCUGAGCCCGCCUACCUACGGCUGGAAAUCUCUUCCGGGCUGGAGGCGGGAGGAUAGUGAAACAUCAGCGUAAUUGAUAUUUUUCUCAUGGAGCGUUGCAAUCGCGUCUAGAGGGCAGCGGGAGCAAAGGAAACAGAGUAGAAGUAGAUGACUGCAACAGGACAGAGAGUGUGAAUCAUUGUUACUCCUCAAAGAUGCUGUUUCCAGUUCAGGAUGUGCUUUUCUUGCCUAAUGGGUCUUUACAGAGACACAGCAGAGCCAGGGUGUUAGUAAGUCAUUGCUACAGCUGGAAAGGAUCUGCGUUCUCUUCAAUGUCUGCUUUGCUGAGAAAGCCACUCCAUUUGGCUGAUUUAACAGAGCUCAAAUUAUAA